UCCGAGUUGACCCCGGCAGUCUCUCACGAGUCCCCGCCAUAACGCGCUGGCAACAUGAGACAAGGGUUGCGCUCGUUGCGGGACUUAACCCAACAUCUCACGACACGAGCUGACGACAGCCAUGCACCACCUGCACACAGGCCACAAGGGAACCGAUAUCUCUACCGGCGUCCUGUGCAUGUCAAACCCAGGUAAGGUUCUUCGCGUUGCAUCGAAUUAAUCCACAUGCUCCGCCGCUUGUACGGACCCCCGCCAAUUCCUUUGAGUUUCAACCUUGCGGUCGUACUUCCCAGGUGGUAAACUUAACGCUUUCGCUUGGACACCAACUGUGUAUCGCUGAUGUCGAGUUUACAUCGUUUAGGGCGUGGACUAC
rnacentral:misc_RNA from 1 species